UUGAAAGCCCAGGCCUAGCUGAGAAGCCCUAUGUCCUUCUCACUGGAGCCUCCAUCAGAGCAUGGCUGUCCUGCUGCUGCUCCUCUGCCUGGUGACCUUUCCAAGCUGUACCCUGUCCCAGGUGCAGCUGAAGGAGUCAGGACCUGACCUGGUGCAGCCCUCACAGACCCUGUCUCUCACCUGCACAGUCUCUGGCUUCUCAUUAACCAGCUAUGGUGUACACUGGGUCCGACAACCUCCAGGAAAGGGUCUGGAGUGGAUGGGAGAAAUAUGGAGUGGUGGGAGCACAGACUAUAAUUCAGCUCUCAAAUCCCGGCUCAGCAUCAGCAGAGACACCUCCAAGAGUCAGGUCUUCUUAAAACUGAACAGUCUGAAGACUGAGGACACAGCCACUUACUACUGUGCUAGAAACACAGUGAGUGAACUCCACAGUGAGCCAACACAAAAAAUGUAUUACACUGAUGCUCAAACCAGCAGGGGGCGCUGA